UACAGAGGGUGCAAGCGUUAAUCGGAAUUACUGGGCGUAAAGCGUGCGUAGACGGUUACAUAAGUCGGGUGUGAAAGCCCCGGGCUCAACCUGGGAAUUGCCUUUAAGACUGCAUCGCUUGAAUCCGGGAGAGGUGAGUGGAAUUCCGAGUGUAGAGGUGAAAUUCGUAGAUAUUCGGAAGAACACCAGUGGCGAAGGCGGCUCACUGGACCGGUAUUGACGCUGAGGUGCGAAAGCGUGGGGAGCAAAACAGG
rnacentral:rRNA from 1 species